ACUCUCCAGUGUGAUGAUGUGUCA
rnacentral:snRNA from 1 species